GGCAAGGAUUAAUUAAUAUGUUAAUUAAUCAAACGAAUAAGUUCUUUAAAGACCUCGGGAUAGUUUUGGACCUUAAGGCCCAAUGGGCUUCGAACGUCAAGCCCAUUAACUUAAGUUGUAUGACAAUUUAAUGAAUAAAGAUUCAUUAAAGCCCAAAAGCCCAAAAUUCCUUAGGUGGCCGGCCAUAUGGUGAUGAAUUAGGGUUUUGGUUGUUUAGGUCACUUAAAGAAGUGACUAUAUAAAUGACUUUAUAGCCAAAUAUUCAUUAAUGUAAUUAAGGGUUUAUUUUGGGUGAAAAUGGGUGAGAAUUGUCUCUCCAUUUUCUCUCUAAAGAGGCCAACACC
rnacentral:lncRNA from 1 species